GAUGAACGCUAGCGGCAGGCUUAAUACAUGCAAGUCGAGGGGCAGCACGGGUAGCAAUACUGGGUGGCGACCGGCAAACGGGUGCGGAACACGUACACAACCUUCCUUUUGGUGGGGAUAGCCUUUGGAAACGGAGAUUAAUACCCCAUAAUACAGGGGGCCAGCCUGGGUCUAUUGUUAAAGGUUUAUUUCCAGAAGAUGGGUGUGCGUCUGAUUAGGUAGUUGGCGGGGUAAAGGCCCACCAAGCCGACGAUCAGUAACUGGUGUGAGAGCACGACCAGUCACACGGGCACUGAGACACGGGCCCGACUCCUACGGGAGGCAGCAGUAAGGAAUAUUGGUCAAUGGGCGGAAGCCUGAACCAGCCAUGCCGCGUGGAGGAUGAAGGUCCUCUGGAUUGUAAACUUCUUUUAUCAGGGGCGAAAAAAGGCUUUUCUAAGUCGUCUGACGGUACCUGAUGAAUAAGCACCGGCUAACUCCGUGCCAGCAGCCGCCGUAAUAC
rnacentral:rRNA from 1 species